GGCAAUCGUGGUUGGUGUGGCGAGCAUCGCCGCUCCUUCUUGGGGGGUGUGAGCAAGGGCGGAUCAAGCGGCGGCGGGUUGCGCCAGCCGCAAUUGGUG
rnacentral:tRNA from 1 species